UCCAUGGUGGCCUAGUGGUUAAGGCGCCCGGUCACUUGUGACUGGGAACCGCGUGUUCGAGUCCCGCCCAAGGGG
rnacentral:tRNA from 1 species